AAACACAUAUAGAGCAAAGUUUAGGCUUUUAGGAGUUUAUCUAUUGAUCUGGAGGGCCUCUGAGGAGUUUCAAACUUCUAUUUUUGAGCAAUGGCCAAUCACCUUUUACUUCACGAAGAGAACAAAGUACAGGGGGACGAAGAAUGUGGUACAUCACAUCAGUGGCGCUCACCAAAGGAAACUGGGAAGGCAACAAAACGGAAACAUAGUGGUAACAACGGCAACUAUGAAGCAAAGAAGCUUUGUACUGGCAGCAGCCCCGCUCAGCAAAAAGGUACCAAAAGAAAAAGGAGUGCACCACACAGUGACCAAUGUGAAGAACAAAAGAAAGGACGGUGCUUCCCAGUCCAGUGCUCAGAGGAUAAUGAUAUGACUGUCCUCGUUGAGCCACUCAAGCUUUUGGUGUUCACUGAAAAAGAUGACGUUGAGAGAUCCAAGAAGAUGCAUGCACUUCAGGAGCACCACCCGCACCUGACGUUUGACCAAGACAACACACACGUAUAUGCAAGUAUUGUCUAAGUGCAAUGAACCAGGUACUUUUUGAACAAGAGGAAAUCAAAACAAACGGAAAUGCAGAAACAUACUCUAAGAAUUCUCCCUUUACAAGAUCUCUGAAGAAUGCAGCGACUACCGAAGACAAAACAACAAGUGAAUACUACAGAGAUGGUUAGUAAAUUGUAGAUUUGCAGUGACCAGUCAAAGUCUUCAGCUGUUCCAUUUGGAGGUCACCUGCAAACUCCCAGGCCCCUGAGAAAUAGUUCUGAACACACCUGUGCCCCUAUCACCCAGUUUUUCCAUGGGCCAUUCUGUUUAAUUCGCAGCACUCCAAAGCCAACGUGAAGGUACUUCGACCGCUACACCUCGUUCUUCGAAGGUUUUCUUUGGAGGUUUUGGAACAGCUGAUACAAACUGAUAGUCCUAUUAACUGCAUCUGGAUAUGUACAAAUGUACAAAUUGGUACUUGUUCACUGCAAUGUUUUUAGAGGAAUCAUUAUACUUACUUCCAGUCUUUGUUUUACCAUUUUUAUAUUUUUACUUCUAUUGUUUUUGCAGGUUUUCUUUGAAGGAAUAAAUAAAAGGUGAUGCUUUAGCUUCAGGGUUAAACCAUGUGGCCUUGAGAGUAACCCAAACUCACAAUCUAUUACUGAAAUGAUAACUGGUUAGUUACGCUAUUUUCAGGCAGGGGGAAGGAGGGAUCUUACGGAAAGAAGUUGUACAAUUGACAAAAUAAUUAACUGAGAACGAGGAGUUUUUCUUAUUUGAAGUUUAAGGAAGUUUGCAAGGAACUAUACCUAUGUAUACCCAGUGUUGGAAACUCUAACCUACACAUACGUAGUGCCCGAGGUCUUUCAUGUGUUGUACUUAAAAGCCAGGGUGAGAUACAUCACUGAAAAGGACCGAAGAUCCAUGCAAUGUGGUUUUAGACUUCUUCAAACGUGAAACCUGAGCCACUGUUGCAGAGUAAAACUGAUAUAACAAGUGAGUUUGGAUUUAGGAGAGACCUGAUUGUAGGUGGCAGACUGGUCCAUUUCUGCUGUUUCUUUUUCGUGACAAGUCCCAAACAAAUUGACAGGGACUGAUGCUAUCAUACACCAAAGCAGAGCUGCAGGCUGGUUUUAAUUGAUGGUUAUUAGUCUGCCUAACUGCCAUGAGAGAUUUGUUAAGUUUGACAGAAUGCUCUCACAGGACACAAAUUGGCACACCAUGCAUGUUGGAAUCAGUGACUACCGGUACGUAAAGAUUCUACAUCUUGAUAGGCCGAUGGCCAGUCACUUGGUUUUCAAUAGUUUUGCUAUCUCACGGUGAACAGCCAAAAGAACUAAACCUGUGGUAAUUAAAGUGCUACAAGACAGUAAAGGAACAUAUACGCAUGAUCAGCGACAUUGUGUGAUGCGAACUGGUGUGCGUGUCGCAUCCAUUCCAAAGUGCUAGCACCAGAGAACUGGGUACAAAUCUUCAAAAAGAAUUUCUUUUUCAAGUAGAUGCACCUUUCAUUUGGAUUGAAUUUUUCAGUUAUCACUUCAAUCAAGUAGAAUCUGUGAAAAAUGUGUCCUAAAACAAAUAUUGAAUGUUUCAUCUCAUGGUGUUGGACAGAUAUAGGUGGCCGUCUGAGAUGAUCCACGAAGCAUUCUAUUUUCUCGAGGUGAACAAAGCAGAGGGAAAUAUCUGCCUCGAGGAGAAACACCCCUCAUGGGUUGACAGGAGCCAUGCUUUUAUGAGGAAUGUGCAUUGUGUUGAUCGUGAUGUGACUGCAACACCUGUAUUUUUACACUCGUACAUAAUCCAGAGCACUGUAGUUCUACCAAAUGAGCCUCAGGUACUUGUCAAAUUGCGCCCUCUCUUGAUCCCCCUCGAGGCAGAUAAAAUGCUCCACGGAUCAGUGAGGGAAGCUGGUGUUAUACCACCACAAAGCCAUCAAUAGGUGUACUGUUUAACUUCCUGGAUAUUACCGACUCAGUACCCUCUAGAACAAUGCAGAGAGACAUUAGACAGAUAUACCCACAAAGUCAUAACACAUCUAAAUAGCUGUGCAUUUUGUGCCAAUUCAAAUGAAAAUGGGUGCUCUGUAACAUAAGCUGGAUGUGACGUGAACCACUUGGUCAGGAAAUGUACAUGUAUGUAGACACAUACAAGGACAUACAGGUAUUUACUUCAGAUGAGUGGAUAUAAUACAGUUUAUUAGCAGACAACAUGAAACACAUGGAGACAAAAAUACUGGUGUGUCACUUUUGCCUCAGCCAGAAGGAAUAUAUUCAUCAUAUUGUAACGCGAAUGUCUGGUGACCCUUUAAACUCUAGAGGAAUGGCAGUGGGGUAACUGUCAGGUGAUUGACAACGUGUUUUUAGUGAGUAAAUUAUGUUGUGGAAAGUGGGAAACUGAACUAAUAAGACUGCCAUGAUGGAAAAAGGGGGGGAGAGUUUGACAAUAUCCGGAGUAUGAUAAAAAUUAGUAAAUGGAAGAAAGGUUCAAAUGGGUAUUGUGGACCAUUGUUUUGCAUCUUUGUGCUAAGAUGGUGUUUUCAAGACUGUGGAAAACAGGGGAGGGAAUUAAAUAAUGUCAGAAAGGGGAAAAUUAGUCA
rnacentral:misc_RNA from 1 species